AGCUCAUGAUUCCCUAUGCAUGGUUUACCUACCAGGAAAGAAGGCACUCCUCAGCUACUAUAAAUAUCAGGUGUAACUUGAUGUUUAAGGGACUGUUUCUGUAAUGGGUGUGUCAUCCAUUUUGAGCCGGUGAAACCCCAAGGUGCCAGCUCAGAGCAUCUGGGAGGAAAAAAGCCAGUCUCUCCUGGAUGUAAACAAGGCUGCAAGACAGCACACUGCCUCAGUUCCUGCUGUCAAACAUCUUGUGACCACAAGUGAACCUAGAUUGUGGCCAAGACUGCCAGGAGCCUACCCAGAGUGUUCAUUCUCCUCUUCCUGAGUAAUAGGACCAGUGGACGUUCCCAUGGGAUGGAAGAAGCAUAGGAUGGAAAUGAGUGCCCUAGACUUUGCAGCAACACACAUUGUGUUAGGAAUGUGUCUAUAAGGCCUGUUGAGACAAGUGGUUUUCAACCAGAGUUGCAUAUCAGAAUCACUUGGGCAACAUUUUAAAGAUAUCAAUUUCCAGGCCCCCUCCUAGAGGUGUUUUUGUUGUUGCUGUUGUUGUUUGGUUUUUUUUAACGGCCACACCUUUGGCCUAUGGAAGCUUCUGGGCAAGGUGUUGAAUUGCAGCUGCAGGCCUAUGCCACAGCCAUGGCAACACUAAGUCCAAGCUGUAUCUGCAACCUAUGCCACAGCUUGUGGCAACACUGGAUUCUCAACCCUCUGAGUGAGGCCAGGGAUUGAACCUGCAUCCUCACAGACACUGUGUCAGAUUCUUAAUCUGCUAAAUCACAGUGGGAAUGCCACAAAGAUUUUGAUUUAAUGGAUUUGGGCAGAAGUCUGGACACAUUCCCCCCCCCCCCCCCCCCCCCCCCCCCCCCCGGGGCUGUCCCUGCAGCACGCUGAAGUUUCCAGGCCAGAGGUGGAACCUGAGCCACAGCAGCAACAAUGCUGGAUCCUUAAAAACCCACCCACCCCCAUCACCAGGAAACUUCUGGACACAUUUUAUAAAAGUUCCUCAGUGGUUAUACUAUGUAGCCAUUGAGAAAUACCAGCUUAAAUCACAUUUUACAGCAUAAUGCCAUUUCAGUAUUGCUUUUCCCCUAGGAUUGCUCAUGAAACUUCUUGUAAACUCUUUUCGUAACUUUGUUGUUUUUUGUUUUUUGUGGUCUAAGACCCACAGAGGUCCAAGGCCCAGGUCCCAAGGCUGCUUUUCUAGACUCCUCUAGUAGGAGCCACCAAGGUAUACUUUUCAAAGCUGACUGAGGCCCCACUUUGUGGGACUGUUUCUGUUUCUAAGUUCAGCUAACUUUUGCCUCUUUCCUUUAUUUCCCCAAGGGUGAUGUUACUAACUCUACCAUGUCACUCACCCUUUGCUUUGUCAGCUCUUGAAUGCCAAAUUCUCUAUGUUGAAUUAUCUGUUAAAAUUAUUAAUGUGAGGAGUUCCCGUCGUGGCUCAGUGGUUAACGAAUCCGACUAGGAACCAUGAGGUUGCUGGUUUGAUCCCUGGCCUCACUCAGUGGGCUAAGGAUCCAGAGUUGUCGUGAGCUGUGGUGUAGGUCAAAGACAUGGCUCAGAUCCGGCAUUGCUGUGGCUGUGGCAUAGGUUGGCUGCUGUAGCUCUGAUUCCACCCCAAGCCCAGGAGCUUGCAUAUGCCACAAGUGCGGUCCUAAAAAAGAAAAAAUAUAUUAUUAAUGUGGUCUCUGUUUUCUUGAUUGGACCUGAACUGAUGCAUCAUCGUCUAGAAUUUAUUGAAGUCAUGUCAUGAAAGUAUAUUUGGUAUAAGCAUUUGCAGGAAAUGUGACUUAAAAAAAAAUCUUGAGU
rnacentral:lncRNA from 1 species